ensembl:lncRNA
CAUAAAGAGGGAGGGAGGGAGGGAUGGGGGAGGGGAAUUGUGUGUGUGCACUCUGUUGUCACUGGCAGGCAGAGCUAGAAAGAGAGAGAGAGGAGGGAGAGGAGGGAGAGAGGGAGGGAGAGGGAUAGUUGAGUUGUGUCCCAUACAUGGAGACAAAAAAGGCAGCGGUGAACACAAGGUCUGCUCUCUGCUCUCUGCUCUCUGCUCUCUGCUCUCUGCUCUCUGCUCUCUGCCCAACAGGAUUAUCUAACUGCUGCGUUCAGAUAGAAAGAGAAUCUGCAGGCAUGAAUAGGGUAAGAAGGGUGUUGUAGCCCGUUAGUACUGGCAACCCCUAACAGUGAUGGACAACAGGCAGACAGAUGCUAACCUGGACCUGGCUGGUUACUGCUCUCCUCUGACAGAACUACUCUCCUCCUAACUGAGACCAGCUCCACAGAAUGUUGAGCCCCGUUGCCCCCUAUAGUAAGUACCUACACACACCCCUAUAUCACAGAAUGCUGAGCCCCAUUGCCCCCUAUAGUAAGUACCAUACACUCACCCCUAUAUCACAGAAUGCUGAGCCCCAUUGCCCCCUAUAGUAAGUACCUACACACACCCCUAUAUCACAGAAUGCUGAGCCCCAUUGCCCCCUAUAGUAAUAUACAGUAAGUACCAUACACUCACCCCUAUAUCACAGAAUGCUGAGCCCCAUUGCCCUCUAUAGUAAGUACCAUACACCCACCCCUAUAUCACAGAAUGGUGAGCCCCAUUGCCCCCUAUAGUAAGUACCAUACACCCACCCCUAUAUCACAGAAUGGUGAGCCCCAUUGCCCCCUAUAGUAAGUACCAUACACUCACCACUAUAUCACAGAAUGCUGAGCCCCAUUGCCCCCUAUAGUAAGUACCAUACACUCACCCCUAUAUCACAGAAUGCUGAGCCCUAUUGCCCCCUAUAGUAAGUACCAUACACUCACCACUAUAUCACAGAAUGCUGAGCCCCAUUGCCCCCUAUAGUAAGUACCAUACACUCACCACUAUAUCACAGAAUGCUGAGCCCCAUUGCCCCCUAUAGUAAGUACCAUACACUCACCACUAUAUCACAGAAUGCUGAACCUCAUUGCCCCCUAUACUAAUAUACAGUAAGUAGCAUACACUCACCCGUAUAUCACAGAAUGCUGAGUCCCAUUGCCCCCUAUAGUAAUAUACAGUAAGUACCAUACACUCUGUAUAUAUAUAUGUAGUGUAGUGUAGUGUACACGUUGUAUCUACGUGUAGUGUAGUGUACACUGUAUAUAUGUGUAGUGUAGUGUAGUGUAGUGUACACUCUGUAUAUAUGUGUAGUGUAGUGUACACUCUGUAUCUGCAUGUAGUGUAGUGUACACUCUGUAUCUACGUGUAAUGUAGUGUAGUGUACACUCUGUAUCUACGUGUAGUGUAGUGUAGUGUACACUCUGUAUCUACGUGUAGUGUGGUGUAGUGUACACUCUGUAUCUACGUGUAGUGUGGUGUAGUGUACACUCUGUAUCUACGUGUAGUGUAGUGUAGUGUACACUAUGUACUAUGUGUAGUGUAGUGUACACUAUGUAUCUACGUGUAGUGUAGUGUAGUGUACACUCUACACUACUGUUCAAAAGUUUGGGGUCACUUAGAACUGUCCUUGUUUUUGAAAGAAAAGCAAAUUUUUUUGUCCAUUAAAAUGACAUGAAAUUGGUCAGAAAUACAGUGUAGACAUUGUUAAUGUUGUAAAUGACUGGAAAUGGCAGAUAUUUUAUGGAAUAUCUACAUAGGCGUACAGAGGCCUGUUAUCACCAACUAUCACUCCUGUGUUGCUAUGGCACGUUGUGUUAGCUAAUCCAAGUUUAUCAUUUUAAAAGGCUAAUUGAUCAUUAGAAAACCCUUUUGCAAUUAUGUUAGCACAGCUGAAAACUGUUGCCCUGAUUAAAGAAGCAAUAAAACUGGCCUUCAUUAGACUAGUUGAGUAUCUGGAGCAUCAGCAUUUGUGGGUUUGAUUACAGACGCAAAAUGGCCAGAAACAAAUAACUUUCUUCUGAAACUCGCCAUAUUUUUGUUCUGAGAAAUGAAGGCUAUUCCAUGCGAGAAAUUGCCAAGAAACUGAGCUGUGUACUACUCCCUUCACAGAACAGCGAAAACUGUCUCUAACCAGAAUAGAAAGAGGAGUGGGAGGCCCCGGUGCACAACUGAGCAAGAGGACAAGUAGAGGACAAGUACAUUAGAGUGUCUAGAUUGAGAAACAGACACCCCACAAGUCCUCAACUGGCAGCUUCAUUAAAUAUUAAAUAUACAGUCCAGCUUGUGGGGCGUCUUGUAUCUACGUGUAGUGUAGUGUAGUGUACACUAUGUAUCUACGUGUAGUGUAGUGUAGUGUACACUGUGUAUCUGCAUGUAGUGUAGUGUAGUGUGGGGUACACUGUAUCUA